rnacentral:rRNA from 1 species
CCUACGGGUGGCAGCAGUGGGGAAUAUUGGACAAUGGGCGAAAGCCUGAUCCAGCCAUGCCGCGUGUGUGAAGAAGGCCUUCGGGUUGUAAAGCACUUUCAGUGGGGAAGAAAGCCUUGGGGCUAAUACCCUCGAGGAAGGACAUCACCCACAGAAGAAGCACCGGCUAACUCCGUGCCAGCCGCCGCGGUAAUACGGAGGGUGCGAGCGUUAAUCGGAAUUACUGGGCGUAAAGCGCGCGUAGGCGGUCUGAUAAGCCGGUUGUGAAAGCCCCGGGCUCAACCUGGGAACGGCAUCCGGAACUGUCAGGCUAGAGUGCAGGAGAGGAAGGUAGAAUUCCCGGUGUAGCGGUGAAAUGCGUAGAGAUCGGGAGGAAUACCAGUGGCGAAGGCGGCCUUCUGGACUGACACUGACGCUGAGGUGCGAAAGCGUGGGUAGCAAACAGGAUUAGAUACCCUGGUAGUC